AUUGAACGCUGGCGGCAGGCUUAACACAUGCAAGUCGAGCGGAAACGAUGAUAGCUUGCUAUCAGGCGUCGAGCGGCGGACGGGUGAGUAAUACUUAGGAAUCUACCUAGUAGUGGGGGAUAGCACGGGGAAACUCGUAUUAAUACCGCAUACGACCUACGGGAGAAAGGGGGCAGUUUACUGCUCUCGCUAUUAGAUGAGCCUAAGUCGGAUUAGCUAGAUGGUGGGGUAAAGGCCUACCAUGGCGACGAUCUGUAGCUGGUCUGAGAGGAUGAUCAGCCACACCGGGACUGAGACACGGCCCGGACUCCUACGGGAGGCAGCAGUGGGGAAUAUUGGACAAUGGGGGAAACCCUGAUCCAGCCAUGCCGCGUGUGUGAAGAAGGCCUUUUGGUUGUAAAGCACUUUAAGCAGUGAAGAAGACUCCGUGGUUAAUACCCACGGACGAUGACAUUAGCUGCAGAAUAAGCACCGGCUAACUCUGUGCCAGCAGCCGCGGUAAUACAGAGGGUGCAAGCGUUAAUCGGAAUUACUGGGCGUAAAGGGAGCGUAGGUGGCUCGAUAAGUCAGAUGUGAAAUCCCCGGGCUCAACCUGGGAACUGCAUCUGAUACUGUUGAGCUAGAGUAUGUGAGAGGAAGGUAGAAUUCCAGGUGUAGCGGUGAAAUGCGUAGAGAUCUGGAGGAAUACCGAUGGCGAAGGCAGCCUUCUGGCAUAAUACUGACACUGAGGCUCGAAAGCGUGGGUAGCAAACAGGAUUAGAUACCCUGGUAGUCCACGCCGUAAACGAUGUCUACUAGUCGUUGGGUCCCUUGAGGACUUAGUGACGCAGCUAACGCAAUAAGUAGACCGCCUGGGGAGUACGGCCGCAAGGUUAAAACUCAAAUGAAUUGACGGGGGCCCGCACAAGCGGUGGAGCAUGUGGUUUAAUUCGAUGCAACGCGAAGAACCUUACCUGGUCUUGACAUAUCUAGAAUCCUGCAGAGAUGCGGGAGUGCCUUCGGGAAUUAGAAUACAGGUGCUGCAUGGCUGUCGUCAGCUCGUGUCGUGAGAUGUUGGGUUAAGUCCCGCAACGAGCGCAACCCUUGUCCUUAGUUACCAGCGGGUUAAGCCGGGAACUCUAAGGAUACUGCCAGUGACAAACUGGAGGAAGGCGGGGACGACGUCAAGUCAUCAUGGCCCUUACGACCAGGGCUACACACGUGCUACAAUGGUAGGUACAGAGGGCAGCUACACAGCGAUGUGAUGCGAAUCUCAAAAAGCCUAUCGUAGUCCAGAUUGGAGUCUGCAACUCGACUCCAUGAAGUAGGAAUCGCUAGUAAUCGCGGAUCAGAAUGCCGCGGUGAAUACGUUCCCGGGCCUUGUACACACCGCCCGUCACACCAUGGGAGUUGAUUGCACCAGAAGUGGAUAGCUUAAC
rnacentral:rRNA from 2 species